UAGUAUUAAACAGUUUGCGUAUAUGUCUGCGUACAUCUAAAUUGAGAAUUUCGAUCGCAAUUAGCUUGGUACUCGUCGACAUGUUCGAUUUCGGUAUUUGGUCGAGUGUAUAUAUAUAUAUAUAUAUAUAUUCAGGUAAUAAUCUCUGAUACGUUUGUAAGGACUUGGUUCGGAACAGACGGAUAAUUAGUUUUCAGUUAUAAACGUGCGUAGAAAUACAGAAUGGUUAAUUAUACGUGAUGAAUAAUGGUUUCCGACAUUUUUCGAGAUUUAUUUAACGACGGUGUUUAAACGUCGUUGUACUUAUCAGCCAUUCGUUAUCUCAUGUACAGUUAGUCAUUUUACGGGAUAUUUCCAUACAAACGGAAAUAACGCCAACGUUCUCGUUCUGUCCUGUAGAUAUAUAUCGAUGGUAAAAAUGGUUCGGAAGUGCAUAGCUUUUUGUUUUUGUUUGGGUUUUUUCUUUCUUUUUUUUUUUGUUUUUAUUUUUUCUUCCUUUUCUCUCUCUCUCUCUCUCUCUCUCUCUCGUUCGUCUCGCGUUUCGUUUUCGUGUUUUAUUCAAAAAUCGCACAUAGUAGUCUCUGGUUCACCCUCGAGAUUUGCCCGUGCCAUCGCGAGCAAGCGAUGCGAUGCGAUUGUUAUUUAUCGUGUAAAAAAAGAAGAAAAGAACAAAAAAAAAACAGAAUUAUGAAAAAGGAAGACGAGAAAGAGAGGAAGAGAGAGAGGUAAUGGUAACGCAAGUAUCGUCUCGAACAAAAGGAGGAUGAAUAAUUUUUACUGGGUCAGAGAUACGCGUGCAGAUCGAGAGGAAAACAAAAACGAAAACAAAAAAAAAAGCAAGGGAAGGAAAAGAAGAAGAAGUAGAGCACAAUCGAUACGAACGCGUCCCAAAUGUAUAUAUAUAUAUAUAUAUAUAUAUAUAUAUAGUACGUUUUUCUGAAAAGAAAUUUUUAAAAAGCUCGAAGAUGACAAAAGAAAUAAUAGACGACAUAAAAUCUAUUAUAUUUAGAUAUUUUCUUCCGCGAGGCCAUAAGUUUCGCAGGAAAUAUUUCGAUGCCGCCAAAAACGUUCGUGAACGAUCGAAGCGUAUGUAUCUCCAGGGAAAACAUCGUGAAACCAACGGAAUAAUAUCGGAUGGACUUCAUACUGUCACGGAUCCUUCUCUCUAGUGGAACUAGUGGAAACACUAUUGAAAUGAAAGUUAUUCAACCAACUUGCGGUAGAUAUAUUCUGCCCCGAAAAUAACUUUUUCCUCGAUUCGAUUUUCGUUUACCGAACGUUGUCGAACGUAGAUGUAUAUCGUUAGUAUCGAUGAUGAAAAAAAGAGAAAAAAAGAAAAAAACAAUUGCAAAAUUUUUCACCAUCUAUAUGUCAAAUUCGAUGACGUCGUUUUGUCGCUCAAUUGCUCUAAAUUUUAUAUAUUUGUCCUUUGCAAUGGGACGUUACAUACAAUGCGACGCGUUUGUUAACGUGACGCUUCGUUUAUUAAAUAUAAUAAAUCUGUAGAAAACAAUUUUAUAUAAAAAAAGAAGAAGAAAAAAAAGAAGGAAGAAACAAACAAAGAACAGAAACAAAAAAUUACUUUCAAGAUAUAAGAGCAAUUUUAUACGGGCGAGAACGGAUGAGAUAUCAAAAGCAGAAAAAAAAUCGAAUCGAUUUGAAUGGAAUCUAAUCAGAAUUGUUCGGUAGGAAAGAAAGAAAAAAAAAAAAAAAGGAAAGAAAAAAAGAAAAACGAAUGAAGAAAGAAAGGUUAUUGUUAAUGUUACGUACAUGCGUGAAAUUUAAUAAAUCGAACAUAUACAUAAGAAACGUCUAAUUCAAA